AACGAACGCUGGCGGCAGGCCUAACACAUGCAAGUCGAACGGGUCCUUCGGGACUAGUGGCGGACGGGUGAGUAACGCGUGGGAACGUGCCCUUUGGUUCGGAAUAGCCCUGGGAAACUGGGAGUAAUACCGGAUGAGCCCUACGGGGGAAAGAUUUAUCGCCAAAGGAUCGGCCCGCGUUGGAUUAGGUAGUUGGUGGGGUAAUGGCCUACCAAGCCGACGAUCCAUAGCUGGUUUGAGAGGAUGAUCAGCCACACUGGGACAGAGACACGGCCCAGACUCCUACGGGAGGCAGCAGUGGGGAAUCUUAGACAAUGGGGGAAACCCUGAUCUAGCCAUGCCGCGUGAUCGAUGAAGGCCUUAGGGUUGUAAAGAUCUUUCAGUGGGGAAGAUAAUGGCGGUACCCACAGAAGAAGCCCCGGCUAACCCCGUGCCAGCCGCCGCCGUAAAAC
rnacentral:rRNA from 1 species